rnacentral:misc_RNA from 1 species
AAAAAAAAAAAAAAAAACUACAAUUGAAGCGGCUGAACCUACAGUAAUACCUGGAGAACAGAACACAGUAUCAAUGAUUGUACGAUAGUGAGCAUUAUAUAUAGAAAUCCACUGUAAGAAAGUGGCCCAUGGACUACCAAUCUCAGAGAGAAGAACAUUUAUUUUCAGAAUACAACAAGAUGAACUCAGGCAAUUGGGAAAAAAACGAUUAAUA